UACGGGGGGGCAAGCGUUGUUCGGAUUCAUUGGGCGUAAAGGGGGUGUAGGUGGCGCGCUAAGUCGGGUGUGAAAUUUCGGAGCUUAACUCCGAAACUGCAUUCGAUACUGGCGUGCUUGAGGACUGGAGAGGAGACUGGAAUUCAUGGUGUAGCAGUGAAAUGCGUAGAGAUCAUGAGGAAGACCAGUGGCGAAGGCGGGUCUCUGGACCGAUACUGACGCUGAGGAGCGAAAGCGUGGGGAGCGAACAGG
rnacentral:rRNA from 1 species